rnacentral:rRNA from 1 species
UACGUAGGGUGCAAGCGUUAAUCGGAAUUACUGGGCGUAAAGCGUGCGCAGGCGGUUAUGUAAGACAGGUGUGAAAUCCCCGGGCUUAACCUGGGAACUGCAUUUGUGACUGCAUAGCUAGAGUACGGUAGAGGGGGAUGGAAUUCCGCGUGUAGCAGUGAAAUGCGUAGAUAUGACGGAGGAACACCGAUGGCGAAGGCAAUCCCCUGGACCUGUACUGACGCUCAUGCACGAAAGCGUGGGGAGCAAACGAGG